UCUCAGACAUCCUUUAUUUUAUUUUAUUUUUCUCUCAGUGCUCAAUAAUCUUUUUAAACAAGCUCCACUUGUUUAGAAUUUUAACUCAACCUCAUCUAAAGUUUUUUUUUAAUUGAACAAAAUCGGCAGCAAAAAGGCACCUGAAAUGAACAGAAACAACAAACCGGAGAACGAAAAGCCUGAACUGAACCAUUUAAAUUGCAUUGCUGUGUACCUUAAUGAGGAAAGAAGCUAUGCUCUAGAGUUCAGCCACGUCUCUCUCUCUCGCUCUCUCUCUCUCUCUUUCACACACACACACACACACACACACACACACACACACACACACACAUACACACACACACACACACACACAUACACACACACACACACAGUUCCAAAAAAUCUUCAAUCUGCAUCAGUAAAUAAAGAUCUCUAGGGAGAAGAAUGUGAGUGUGUGUGUGUGAGUGUGUGUGUGUGUGUGUGUGUGAGUGAGUGUGCUGUGUGUUGUGUGUUUGGUGUGUUGUGUGUGUGAUGGCCUCUUCACGCAGGCACACAGGACAUAAAGGUAGAAAAUGAGGUGCUGGUAAUGCAUUCCCCUCCCAAAUACAGGCGACAUAAGCAGCUAAUAUUUCACCAUGCGCUGAGCAUUAGACCCGCCCACACACACACACACACACACACACACACACAUUCACGCACACGCAGUGUGUGGGCCAGGCCAGAGUUUUGGUCGUUCAAUGAACGUAUUGCACAAAAGUAAACAUAACGUGAGCGAAGGACAGUCAGUGGCGUGUCCCCUCCACUCCAAGCAGAUCAACUCAGUGGAGGCUUAAUAAUAAUAAUAAUAAUAAUAAUAAUAAUAAUAAUAAUAAUAAUAAUAAUGUAUGUAUACAUACAUAUGUAUGUGUGCAAAGAUAUACACUCGUACAUAUACAUGUAUACAUAGAUACAUAUGUUGUAUAGCUCUAUAUAUACGCCUUGAAUUUAUAUAUAGAUUUACAUACUGUUUUGCAUGUUAAUAUAUUCGUAUUAGAUUCCCCUCUUUAUUAAUUGCGAAAAGUGUCUAAAAAAAAUCUACUCCUCCUACCAAUUAGUUCACAGUCUAACCACGUGAGACCUGGGCGAUGAGUGAAGCCAUUCUAUUCAGGUUAUUAUUAUUAUUAUUCGUCUUCAGGAUUAGAUUAUUAGCAGUAG
ensembl:lncRNA